GCCAGCCCGCUCAGAAACUCAAAGGAAUUGACGGGGCCCGCACAAGCGGUGGAGUAUGUGGUUUAAUCGAUGCAACGCGAAGAACCUUACCUGGUCUUGACAUCCCGGAGACCCUUAGGAAACUAGGGGGUGCUUCCAUCUGGAGGAAUCUGGAGACAGGUGCUGCAUGGCUGUCGUCAGCUCGUGUCGUGAGAUGUUGGGUUAAGUCCCGCAACGAGCGCAACCCUUGCCUUUAGUUGCCAGCAGUUCGGCUGGGCACUCUAAAGGGACUGCCGGUGUUAAACCGGAGGAAGGUGGGGAUGACGUCAAGUCCUCAUGGCCUUUAUGACCAGGGCUACACACGUACUACAAUGGCCGAUACAAAGGGCAGCGACACUGCGAGGUGAAGCCAAUCCCGUAAAAUCGGUCUCAGUCCGGAUUGGAGUCUGCAACUCGACUCCAUGAAGUUGGAAUCGCUAGUAAUCGUGGAUCAGCAUGCCACGGUGAAUACGUUCCCGGGCCUU
rnacentral:rRNA from 1 species